UCCGGUUGAUCCUGCCGGACCCGACUGCUAUCAGAGUGGGACUAAGCCAUGCGAGUCAACAUAGCAAUAUGUGGCAUACGGCUCAGUAACACGUAGUCAACAUGCCCAGGGGACGUGGAUAACCUCGGGAAACUGAGGAUAAACCGCGAUAAGUCACUGCUUCUGGAAUGGGCAAUGACUUAAAUCUAUAUGGCCCCUGGAUUGGACUGCGGCCGAUCAGGCUGUUGGUGAGGUAAUGGCCCACCAAACCUGUAACCGGUACGGGCUCUGAGAGGAGGAGCCCGGAGAUGGGCACUGAGACAAGGGCCCAGGCCCUAUGGGGCGCAGCAGGCGCGAAACCUCUGCAAUAGGCGAAAGCCUGACAGGGUUACUCUGAGUGAUUUCCGUUAAGGAGAUCUUUUGGCACCUCUAAAAAUGGUGUAAAUAAGGGGUGGGCAAGUCUGGUGUCAGCCGCCGCGGUAAUACCAGCACCCCGAGUGGUCGGGACGUUUAUUGGGCCUAAAGCAUCCGUAGCCGGUUCUGCAAGUCUUCCGUUAAAUCCACCUGCUUAACAGAUGGGCUGCGGAAGAUACUAUAGAGCUAGGAGGCGGGAGAGGCAAGCGGUACUCGAUGGGUAGGGGUAAAAUCCGUUGAUCCAUUGAAGACCACCAGUGGCGAAGGCGGCUUGCCAGAACGCGCUCGACGGUGAGGGAUGAAAGCUGGGGGAGCAAACCGGAUUAGAUACCCGGGUAGUCCCAGCUGUAAACGAUGCAGACUCGGUGAUGAAUUGGCUUUAUGCCAAUUCAGUGCCGCAGGGAAGCCGUUAAGUUUGCCGCCUGGGGAGUACGGUCGCAAGACUGAAACUUAAAGGAAUUGGCGGGGGAGCACCACAAGGGGUGAAGCCUGCGGUUCAAUUGGAGUCAACGCCGGAAAUCUUACCGGGGGCGACAGCAGAAUGAAGGUCAAGCUGAAGACUUUACCAGACAAGCUGAGAGGAGGUGCAUGGCCGUCGCCAGCUCGUGCCGUGAGGUGUCCUGUUAAGUCAGGUAACGAGCGAGACCCCUGCCUCUAGUUGCUACCAUUAUUCUCAGGAGUAGUGGAGCUAAUUAGAGGGACUGCCGUCGCUGAGACGGAGGAAGGAGGGGGCUACGGCAGGUCAGUAUGCCCCGAAACCCUCGGGCCACACGCGGGCUGCAAUGGUAAGGACAAUGAGUAUCGAUUCCGAAAGGAGGAGGCAAUCUCUAAACCUUACCACAGUUAUGAUUGAGGGCUGAAACUCGCCCUCAUGAAUAUGGAAUCCCUAGUAACCGCGUGUCACUAUCGCGCGGUGAAUACGUCCCUGCUCCUUGCACACACCGCCCGUCGCUUCGUCGAAGUUGGUUCUUGGCGAGGUGAUGCCUAAUUGGUACUAUCGAACCUGGGGUCAGCAACGAGGGAG
rnacentral:rRNA from 1 species